rnacentral:rRNA from 1 species
AUACGUAGGGUGCGAGCGUUGUCCGGAAUUACUGGGCGUAAAGAGCUCGUAGGUGGUUUGUCGCGUCGUCUGUGAAAUUCCGGGGCUUAACUCCGGGCGUGCAGGCGAUACGGGCAUAACUUGAGUACUGUAGGGGAGACUGGAAUUCCUGGUGUAGCGGUGAAAUGCGCAGAUAUCAGGAGGAACACCGGUGGCGAAGGCGAGUCUCUGGGCAGUAACUGACGCUGAGGAGCGAAAGCAUGGGUAGCGAACAGGAUUAGAUACCCUGGUAGUCCAUGCCGUAAACGGUGAGUGCUAGGUGUAGGGGUCUUCCACGACUUCUGUGCCGUAGCUAACGCAUUAAGCGCCCUGCCUGGGGAGUACGGCCGCAAGGCUGAAACUCAAAUGAAUUGACGGGG